rnacentral:lncRNA from 1 species
CGAGACAUCAUACUCAAUGCCAACUCCAUCCCGCUGAAAAUGCUGGGCCAGGAGUUCCUAUAAGCUGUCAGUCAAAGCAAGCCUGCAGCUGCCUUGUGUCCUCGAACUGAGGAACCACUUUGGGUACUAAGGAAGGAGCAGAGUGAAGGGAAGCAUCUGUGACUGGCUGGCAUAAGCUGCAUUUCAAAACAGACAUAAAAGGAAUUUAGGCCAGGCUCUAGGAAGGCUCACACUUUAAAGAAAACAAAUGUUUUUAUUCAGGUUCAGGGGACUUUUAAACUGCAGUAUUUAGGCUCAAAAGAUGACACUCACACCAUUGUAGUCGUGAAGAAAAUUGACUACCAGGCGGAAUGAAGGAACAGUGCCACUGAAAUCUUUAUGAGUGAUCUGAAAUGAAAUGCUCUAAACCAACUCACUUCUCAACCAGAGCUCUGCAGAUGCUACACAGAUGACAACUUUCUCAUCAUAAAAAUGAUGGAAAGCACACAACGGAGGUAUUCAAACCAAAGAUUACUAGAGAUCGCCUUCAUUAGAGGCCCAAGGACUCUCCGAGUGAGGUGAGCCAGCCUGUAGGAGUGAGGAAGGAGCUCGCUACUGGGACAGUGCCUCUCACCGCCAACAGCUGUGUGACUUUUCAGAGGACGCACUGUGCCCUGGGAAAUGAACCCCCAGGGUGAGGGGGAAGAGCAGAGAUUGGAAAGCUGUGUCAGAAAAUCUCUCACAGCUUGGCCUGGUGUGUUCACACACACUCUGCCAGUUUCCUGAACACGGCACCUUUCCAGUUACCUUUUGGAAAAUCAUAUAUAUGUUUGCUCAAUGCUCUGGAAGCACAGAAAGAUUUGGGUGCAUCUAACACCAUGCAAGGGAAUGACUACCAGCUGCUAAAUGGGAUUUGAAAGUCUGGAGACAAUUGGUCACAGGUAUUUCCAAUUUAGGAGUUUUUGGAUGGCCUUUAUCCAGGCCUUUUAUUACUUCUAAUAGUCCUUUGAUGGGAAGUAAAGUGACUAUAAAUUAGUGCCUACUAAUUCUUUAUAAUAGAAGAGAGGUCAGUUUGUCUUUUGAAAAAAGCACCAGCUUGGAGAACAAAUGACUCAAUUCGUCCCUGCUGACUUUCUAAGUGAUCUUGGAUGGGCAAGGUAACUGCUCUGAGUCUUGGUUUGAGAGAAAAAAAGGUUACAAAGUCCUAUGACAAAGAGAGAGUGAAGACAUGCUGGUAAAUUCACCCAGUCACCUGGGCUGGAGGCUAACUAAGCAAAAAGCAAAGCGGUAGCAUUCCAGAUAUUUAAACAAUAGAAACAACAAAAAUUUGUCUUUGCCGUUCGUCGUGGGCCUAGGGGAUCUGAGUGAGCGAUGACUCUGUCUGGAGACCACGAAGAGGCAGCUGCAUCUCAGACUUCCUUGAGGACCCUGAGAGACCAGGCAUCUCCUUGGGCUUCUGCAUGUGCUGCCAGUCACUCCAUCAGGACAAUCUGUAAAGACCUUUUCUGAAUCUGCAAACACUGGGUUCCUGCUUCCGAUCAUGCAGCAGGCUCACUAAGAAGCAGCCCAGGCUCCGCAGAGCAGGGGCUGAGCCUUACAACAGGCCCACCUGCUUCUUCACCACCUGACACCCCAUCCCACACACCCAAGUCAACAGCGACCAGUGUGCCUUAGACCUUGAGCAUCAGACCAAGGUUAUGGCUCUGGUACGGGGACAUGAGUCUAGCAGUGCUGAACCCCAGCCUCUUUCCAGCCUUAUCUAGUCCAGUCCCUUUUGUGUUUCCUAAACUGCCUUCAAACUGAACUCAUUGCUGGUUGCCAUAGAGUGCCCUACAUUUUCCUAUUUCUAUGCCUUUACUCAUUUCCUUCUACUCAAAAUAUUCUUCUCGUUCACAGCAACGUGUUCAAAACCUACCCGCUCUUUACAACCCCGUUCUCAUGCAACUGGCACCAUGAAACCUGCCCCAAUUCGCUCUCAUACACCAAGUCUGCUCAGACUGUGGAAGUGGUAUGAGAAUUUUAAGAGAGGGAUAAGAACAGUAUUCCUGCCCUUUGGAAGUUUAUACUCUACUUGGGGAGACAAUAAACUAAUAAAGAAGAGGACAAGACUAUUUGGAAGUCAAUGCCAGGAAGAGCUGCGGAGGUCAUAAUAACUCCUGUUUAUUGAGCACUUAAUGUGUGCCGGCCCUGUACCAAGAACUUUAUACAUAUAUUUUAGUUCUCACCACUCCAGCCCAUAUUAAUCCCACUCUACAGAUGAGCAAGCUCAUCUAUACUCAGAGACCUUAAAUCCUUAUCUAGAAUAAAGUCUAUCUAGGAUAAACAUUAAACCCUUAUCUACUUGUCUUAUCUAGCCCGUAGGUCACAGAGCCUGAGCUCUUAAAAAUGUUCUAAAAUUACAUUGUGGUGAUGGUUGCACAAGUCUGUGAAUAUAUGAAAAACCAUUGAAUUGUACACUUCAAAGAUGUGACAUGUAUGAUAUAUAAAUUAUAUUUCAAAAAAG